GCAGUCGAACGAACUUAACCAUUAGUUUACUAUUGGAGCGGUUAGUGGCGGACUGGUGAGUAACACGUAAGCAACCUGCCUAUCAGAGGGGAACAACAGUUAGAAAUGACUGCUAAUACCGCAUAUGCCUUAGAAUCACAUGGUUCAAAAGGGAAAGGAGCAAUCCGCUGAUAGAUGGGCUUGCGUCUGAUUAGCUAGUUGGUGGGGUAAUGGCCUACCAAGGCGACGAUCAGUAGCCGAACUGAGAGGUUGAACGGCCACAUUGGGACUGAGAUACGGCCCAGACUCCUACGGGAGGCAGCAGUCGGGGAUAUUGCGCAAUGGAGGAAACUCUGACGCAGUGACGCCGCGUGCAGGAAGAAGGUUUUCGGAUUGUAAACUGCUUUAGACAGGGAAGAACAAAGACAGUACCUGUAGAAUAAGCUCCGGCUAACUACGUGCCAGCAGCCGCGGUAAUACGUAGGGAGCGAGCGUUAUCCGGAUUUAUUGGGUGUAAAGGGUGCGUAGACGGGAAGUCAAGUUAGUUGUGAAAUCCCUCGGCUUAACUGAGGAACUGCAACUAAAACUGAUCUUCUUGAGUACUGGAGAGGAAAGUGGAAUUCCUA
rnacentral:rRNA from 1 species